rnacentral:rRNA from 1 species
UACGAAGGGAGCUAGCGUUGUUCGGAAUUACUGGGCGUAAAGGGCGCGUAGGCGGCUUGAUAAGUUUGAUGUGAAAGCCCUGGGCUUAACCUAGGAAUAGCAUUGAAUACUGUCAGGCUAGAGGCCGAGAGAGGGAAAUGGAAUUGCGAGUGUAGAGGUGAAAUUCGUAGAUAUUCGCAAGAACACCAGUGGCGAAGGCGAUUUCCUGGCUCGGUACUGACGCUAAGGCGCGAAAGCGUGGGGAGCAAAC